CCUACGGGGGGCAGCAGUCGGGAAUAUUGCGCAAUGGAGGAAACCCUGAUGCAGCAACGCCGCGUGAGUGAAGAAGUAUUUCGGUAUGUAAAGCUCUAUCAGCAGGGAAGAAGAAAGACGGUACCUGACUAAGAAGCCCCGGCUAACUACGUGCCAGCAGCCGCGGUAAUACGUAGGGGGCAAGCGUUAUCCGGAUUUACUGGGCGUAAAUGGAGCGUAGACGGCAUAGCAAGUCUGAAGUGAAAGCCCGUGGCUCAACCGCGGAACUGCUUUGGAAACUGUUAAGCUGGAGUACUGGAGAGGCA
rnacentral:rRNA from 1 species